AGUAGUGACGGCGGCUAGGGAUUGCGCUCAUCACCAUCUACUGGUUCCUGCUAGUUUCUUUGCUUCAUCCCGUCUGGAGCAGAUCCUGUUUUGGUCAGCAGGGUUGUGACCAGAAAACAAGUCCUGUUGGUCUCCCACCUCAAUCUGACGGAUAUUAUUUUGACACAGUGUUACAUUUCUGGUUCCAGCUAAGAAAGGUGAUGAAAAGUUGCUUUUUAGACAAAAUAAGCCCUUACCCUCAAAGGAAAGUUGCUCCUGAAAUACAAGCAGAAAUCAGUGGAGUCCUGGUUGCUUCCUCUGCAAAUCAGUGAUGGCUUAUACAAAGAACAGUAUUAAAGACUCCGCGGCUGGACGCGGUGGGUCUCGCCUGUAAUCCCAGCACUUUGGGAGACCGAGGUGAGUGGAUCGCCUGAGGUCAGGAGUUCAAGACCAGCCUGGCCAACAUGGUGAAACCCCGACUCUACUAAAAAUACAAAAAAUUACCUCGGGGUGUGGUGGCAGACAACUGUAAUCCCAGCUACUCGGGAGGCUGAGGCAGGAGAAUAGCUUGAACCCGGGAGGCGGAGGUUGCACUGAGCCGAGAUCACGCCACUGCACUCCAGCCUGGGCAACAAGAGCAAAACUCCAUCUCAA